UGGGGAAUAUUGCACAAUGGGCGAAAGCCUGAUGCAGCGACGCCGCGUGAGGGAUGACGGCCUUCGGGUUGUAAACCUCUUUCAGCAGGGAAGAAGCGAAAGUGACGGUACCUGCAGAGAAGCGCCGGCUAACUACGUGCCAGCAGCCGCGGUAAUACGUAGGGCGCAAGCGUUGUCCGGAAUUAUUGGGCGUAAAGAGCUCGUAGGCGGUUAGUCGCGUCUGCUGUGAAAACUCGAGGCUCAACCUCGGGCUUGCAGUGGGUACGGGCUGACUAGAGUGCGGUAGGGGUGACUGGAAUUCCUGGUGUAGCGGUGGAAUGCGCAGAUAUCAGGAGGAACACCGAUGGCGAAGGCAGGUCACUGGGCCGCAAACUGACGCUGAGGAGCGAAAGCAUGGGGAGCGAACAGGAUUAGAUACCCUGGUAGUCCAUGCCGUAAACGUUGGGCACUAGGUGUGGGUCCAUUCCACGGAUUCCGUGCCGCAGCAAA
rnacentral:rRNA from 1 species